GACGAACGCUGGCGGCGUGGAUUAGGCAUGCAAGUCGAACGGUAUCAUCCUUUCGGGGGUGAGAGAGUGGCGAACUGGUGAGUAACACGUAGGUUAUCUACCCUCAAGACGGGGACAACCCAGGGAAACUUGGGCUAAUACCGGAUGAGAGUGCGAGAGAUUGCAUUUAAAAGGAUGGCGAAAGUUGUCGCUUAGGGAUGAGCCUGCGGUCUAUUAGUUAGUUGGUGAGGUAAGAGCUCACCAAGGCGAUGAUAGAUAGGCGGCCUUAACGGGUGGUCGCCCACACUGGGAUUGAGAUACGGCCCAGACUCCUACGGGAGGCAGCAGUCGAGAAUAGUCUACAAUGGCCGGAAGGCUGAUAGUGCGACGCCGCGUGAACGAGGGAGCCCUUCGGGGUGUAAAGUUCUUUUCUAUACGAGCAGUGCUAUAUAUAUGGAUAGUAUAUAUAGAGGGAUAGUAGUAUAGGAAUAAGCAACGGCUAACUCCGUGCCAGCAGCCG
rnacentral:rRNA from 1 species